rnacentral:rRNA from 1 species
ACUUAGAGUUUGAUCCUGGCUCAGGACGAACGCUGGCGGUGCGCUUAAUGCAUGCAAGUCGAACGAGAACGGCGGCUUCGGUCGCUAAGUAAAGUGGCAGACGGCUGAGUAACACGUAAGUAACCAACCCCGGAGCGGGGAAUAAUCAUGAGAAAUCGUGCCUAAUACCCCGUACGUCCCAACAGGCGUUGCCGUUGGGGGAAAGGCUUCGGUCGCUCUGGGACGGGCUUGCGGCCUAUCAGGUAGUUGGUGGGGUAAAGGCCCACCAAGCCGUAGACGGGUACCCGGUGUGAGAGCACGAACGGGCAGAGGGGGACUGAGACACGGCCCCCACUCCUACGGGAGGCAGCAGCAGGGAAUC